UGAGUGAAGAAGGUUUUCGGAUCGUAAAGCUCUGUUGUAAGUCAAGAACGUGUGUGAGAGUGGAAAGUUCACACAGUGACGGUAGCUUACCAGAAAGGGACGGCUAACUACGUGCCAGCAGCCGCGGUAAUACGUAGGUCCCGAGCGUUGUCCGGAUUUAUUGGGCGUAAAGGGAGCGCAGGCGGUCAGGAAAGUCUGGAGUAAAAGGCUAUGGCUCAACCAUAGUGUGCUCUGGAAACUGUCUGACUUGAGUGCAGAAGGGGAGAGUGGAAUUCCAUGUGUAGCGGUGAAAUGCGUAGAUAUAUGGAGGAACACCAGUGGCGAAAGCGGCUCUCUGGUCUGUCACUGACGCUGAGGCUCGAAAGCGUGGGUAGCGAACAGGAUUAGAUACCCUGGUAGUCCACGCCGUAAACGAUGAGUGCUAGGUGUUAGGCCCUUUCCGGGGCUUAGUGCCGGAGCUAACGCAAUAAGCACUCCGCCUGGGGAGUACGACCGCAAGGUUGAAACUCAAAGGAAUUGACGGGGGCCCGCACAAGCGGUGGAGCAUGUGGUUUAAUUCGAAGCAACGCGAAGAACCUUACCAGGUCUUGACAUCCCGAUGCUAUUCUUAGAGAUAGGAAGUUACUUCGGUACAUCGGAGACAGGUGGUGCAUGGUUGUCGUCAGCUCGUGUCGUGA
rnacentral:rRNA from 1 species